rnacentral:rRNA from 1 species
CACGGAACCGGUCGUCGCUCUUCGUCUUUCCUCUCCCUGCCCCGAAAGCCCAUCGCGUCUCUCACUCCCCUGAUCUGCGUCGCCGCUAAUCCUCUCCCUUGAUCCGCGCCGCGGGCUGCUCCUCUCCCACGAUCCGCGCCGCCGGCUGCUCCCGUCCCUCAUCUCCUCCUCUCUGGACUGCGGUGACGGACGAGGCGCGGCGGAGCGGCUGUCUUGAAGCUGGGCGGCUGGCGAGAGGCUACUCCGGCGGCAGCAGGGACCAGGCCUCCGGGAGGCGCGGCGACGAUCUGAUCUAGGGGCCGGCGAUGGUUUGACCUCCUGGUGAGAGGGCAAUGAUUUUGUACGGUGCGGCUGUAGUUGGACCUGCCCGUGGCGGUGAUAGACAGAGAUAAAUGUGAAGGAGCAUGGAAGAGCAGAGGCGACCGAGGAGCAGGGAAGAACACUGAUCGAUUUUGGUAGCUCAGCGGCAAUUGGUGUGUGUUGGUAGGCGAGGACUAGCCAGAUCGCCAAUGGCAUUGUGGAGCUUCACCGUAGCAUUAUCAUGUGCAUAUCUUUUUCCUUCUAUCUUUCCUAUAUUUUUAUUCUUGUUCGGACCGUCAAUGUAUGAUCUUGUACAUAUUUUUUUGGUG